rnacentral:rRNA from 1 species
UACGUAGGGUGCAAGCGUUGUCCGGAAUUAUUGGGCGUAAAGAGCUCGUAGGCGGUCUGUCGCGUCUGCUGUGAAAACUCAGGGCUUAACCCUGAGCUUGCAGUGGGUACGGGCAGACUAGAGUGCGGUAGGGGAGACUGGAAUUCCUGGUGUAGCGGUGAAAUGCGCAGAUAUCAGGAGGGAACACCGGUGGCGAAGGCGGGUCUCUGGACAGUUCCUGACGGCUGAG